rnacentral:rRNA from 1 species
UACGUAGGGUGCGAGCGUUAAUCGGAAUUACUGGGCGUAAAGCGUGCGCAGGCGGCUUUGCAAGACAGAUGUGAAAUCCCCGGGCUCAACCUGGGAAUUGCAUUUGAAACUGGGAAACUAGAGUGUGUGAGAGGGGGGUAGAAUUCCAAGUGUAGCGGUGAAAUGCGUAGAUAUGCGGAGGAACACCAAUGGCGAAGGCAAUCCCCUGGGCCUGUACUGACGCUCAUGCACGAAAGCGUGGGGAGCAAACAGG